ensembl:snoRNA Gm24067 predicted gene, 24067
CUCCUGCCUCAUGAUGAACGCACCGCCCUGAGCUCUCGUGAUGCUGGCUUCAAAGUAAACGCUCUGAAGCGAUGGAGCACAGC